UACGUAGGGGGCAAGCGUUGUGCGGAAUUAUUGGGCGUAAAGGGCGUGUAGGCGGCUUUUUAAGUCGGUUGUGAAAGCCCGGGGCUCAACCCCGGAGAGUCGACCGAUACUGGCAAACUAGAGUACAGAAGAGGUAGCUGGAAUUCCUGGUGUAGCGGUGAAAUGCGUAGAUAUCAGGAGGAACACCUGAGGCGAAGGCGGGCUACUGGGCUGAUACUGACGCUGAUGCGCGAAAGCCAGGGGAGCAAACAGG
rnacentral:rRNA from 1 species